rnacentral:misc_RNA from 1 species
UCGAUGGGUCAGGUGCCAGGG